UACGGGAGGCAGCAGUGGGGGAUAUUGCACAAUGGGCGAAANNCUGAUGCAGCAACGCCGCGUGAGGGAAGACGGUUUUCGGAUUGUAAACCUCUGUCUUUGGUGAAGAAGAAAGUGACGGUAGCCAAGGAGGAAGCCACGGCUAACUACGUGCCAGCAGCCGCGGUAAU
rnacentral:rRNA from 1 species